rnacentral:misc_RNA from 1 species
AACGGUCUAUACCUGCGGUACCUGCGGAAGGAUCAUUAGUGAACGCCCUCACGGGCUUAUAACUAUUCCAAACCUCUGUGAACCGUGCCCUUCGGGGCUAUUUUACAAACAUGGUGUAAUGAACGUCAUAUAUCAUAACAAAACAAAACUUUUAACAAUGGAUCUCU